rnacentral:rRNA from 1 species
UUCGCAAUGCCCGAAAGGGUGACGAAGCGACGCCGCGUGUGGGAAGAAGGCCUUCGGGUUGUAAACCACUGUCGGGAGUCAAGAAAUACAAGGAUAUGAAUAGUGUCUUUGUUUGACUAAGGCUCCGGAGGAAGCCACGGCUAACUCUGUGCCAGCAGCCGCGGUAAUACAGAGGCGGCAAGCGUUGUUCGGAAUUAUUGGGCGUAAAGAGCACGUAGGCGGCUAUGUAAGUCGGUUGUGAAAGCCUUCCGCUCAACGGAAGAACAGCAUCCGAUACUACAUGGCUUGAGUGCGGGAGGGGAGAGUGGAACUUCUGGUGGAGCGGUGAAAUGCGUAGAUAUCAGAAGGAACGCCGGCGGCGAAAGCGGCUCUCUGGCCCAUAACUGACGCUGAGUGUGCGAAAGCUAGGGGAGCAAACGGGAUUAGAUACCCCGGUAGUCCUAGCCGUAAACGAUGGGCACUAAGUAGAGGGGUUUU